rnacentral:rRNA from 1 species
UACGAAGGGGGCUAGCGUUGUUCGGAUUUACUGGGCGUAAAGCGCACGUAGACGGAUCGUUAAGUCGGGGGUGAAAUCCUGGAGCUCAACUCCAGAACUGCCUUCGAUACUGGCGAUCUUGAGUCCGGAAGAGGUGAGUGGAACUCCUAGUGUAGAGGUGGAAUUCGUAGAUAUUAGGAAGAACACCAGUGGCGAAGGCGGCUCACUGGUCCGGUACUGACGCUGAGGUGCGAAAGCGUG